rnacentral:lncRNA from 1 species
GAGCCGGUCGGUGUCUGUGUUGAAGUUGGUGAUUCAGAGGAAAACGACGAAGGCUGGUGAGCAGGUGCACGAGUUGUUGAGUUUGAUGUUUGGGCUUGUUCAUGGGCCUGAUUUAAAUUGUUUAAUGGGCCUGUUUGAAUUAGGCCCACAUUUUCACUUUGGGAGCUGCCAUUGUUGUCUUUCCACACGAGUAUCUAUGAGCGUCUCACGAGGAGGAACAGGUUCGACAGUGGGCGACGGAGGUGAGCUAACCGGCGGCGGUCGUACCACUGGUGGUCGGAGUAGCGGAAUCACCGACGGAUGUGUUGGAGUGACGAGCUCUGUUUCCCGAUUUGGUGACAAUGUAUCUUGAAAAGGGAAUGUGUCUUCAUCAAAUUGAACAUGUCGGGAAACAUAUAUUCUUGAUGAAGGACGAUGGAGACAAUAAUAUGCACUCUGGGAUGUGGAGUACCCAAGGAACACACACCACUGAGAUCGGUCAUCGAGUUUAUGGCGGGUGUAUGGUCUUAACCAUGGGAAGCACAAACAACCGAAGACUCUUAGUUUUUCAUAGUUUGGUGACGACCCGAAUAGCUUUUGAAAUGGAGACUCCAUGGAAAGAACCGGUGUUGGCAUUCUAUUGAUCAAAUAGACGGCUGUUGAGAACGCAUAAGACCAAUACGCCUUCGGUACCGACGCGGUGGAAAGAAGCGUAAGCCCAGUUUCAACGAUAUGAAGGUGUUUGCGCUCAGCUAGGCCGUUGUGUUCGGGCGUAUGUGGCGGAGAUGUAAGGUGAGUGAUCCCAUUGGUUGAGAGGAAGGGUCGGAGCACCACAAAUUCACCCCCAUUAUCCGAAAAUAAUGUACCAAUACGAGUCUGGAAUCUAUUCUCAACAAGAGCUUUAAAAGCAAUGAAAACAUCUUUGACAUCGGAUUUGCGUAUAAGCGGGUAUAGCCAUGUGUAGCGGGUGAAGUGGUCAACAAGCACAAGGUAGUAUUUUUGGUUAUCAAUAGAGUGUAUGGGAGAUGUCCAAACAUCAGUAAAGAUAUAUUCAAGAGGGCGAUGGGAGACAAUUGAAGUUUGUGAAAAAGGGAGUUUGUGGCUUUUAUUAAUAAGGCAUUCCGAACAAGAUUGUUGUUUUUGUGGAGAAGAAGAAAUAGGAAGCAAAAACUUGGAAAUAAUAGUUUGCAAAAUAGAAAAAGAAGGAUGCCCCAAUCUCGAAUGCCAAUUUGUAAGACUCGGCUUUGGACCUGAAGAAGACAUCAACGCCACCGCUUGAGAAGAUGUCACAGGCCACUCAUACAACUCGUUCCUAGUUUUGCCUUGGAGUAACGGGACCCCCGUGCUGAGAUCCUUCACCUGAAAGGAAGCGGGGAAAAAUUCCACAGAAACCUUAUUAGUGUUACAUAAGCGAUAAACAGAAAUAAGAUUCUUCCGAAUAUCAAGAACACAUAAGAUUUUAUCUAGAAGUAAUGAACGAGUUUGGUUAGGAAGGAGUGUUGAACCCGUGUGAGAGAUGGUCAUGCUUGAACCAUCGGCAAUCAUAACGUCAUCACCACCAUUGUAUUGUUGGUGAAGAGAGAGGUUGUUAAGGUCGGAUGUCAGGUGAUGAGUGGCUCCAGAAUCAAGCAGCCAAUUGUUUGUCGUGUACGGUGAGCCGACGGCGAGGUUAGCGCAUGGCUGCCAGGGUCGGAACGGAUUAGGAGGCAUCGGAGGAGCUGCUGCUUACAGUGAUUGCAAUUGAGGGCAGCGUCUAGCGCUAUGACCCUGUGUGUUGCAGUAUUGGCACUUGCCAAGAUAUGGCUUAGAAACACGAGACUCAGACCGGUUUUGGUAUUAGUUUGGAGUCCACGGUGAGUUGUUGUUGUUGUACCUCUUGCUGUUAUUAUUGUUGCGGUUGUUUUGUUGAUUUCCAGAGUUGUUGUUGUGUUGAACAACAUUUGCAGAGACCGGAGAGAACGUGGACGAAACAACUUGGUUUUUGGAAAGAAGUUUCGCUUCGUAGUUGAGUAGCUUCUCGUGGACCUCACUGAUUUGUGGCGUCUUGUCUUUGGCUGCAAUCUGGUCGAUGAUGGGCUUGUGCUCCUUAGGGAGUCCUUCAAGAACAUGUUCGAUUUGAUCAUCGUGUUCAAGCUCACUACCAAGGAGAGCAAGCUGAUCAAAUCGGGUAACUAUGCCUUGUACGUAUUCGUCAAUUGAUUUGGAGCCCUUGGUGUAGAGCUUGAGCUGAUCCUUCAAUAUGCGAAUGUGGUUUCGGGACGGAUUCGCAUAAGUGUUGGCGAGCUUGGUCCAGAUCUGAGCAGCGGUAGUGGUGCGACCAACAAUUGGUUGAACAGCGGAGGAGAUCGAGCAGAUGAGUGCGCUGUAAAUGAGUUUGUCUUGGCGACGCCAUUUGGUGUAGUCUGGAUUCGUCGAAGUGGUUGUUCCGACCGUGACUGUGGGAGACGGCGCCUCCUUGGAUUCAUCAAGGUGGUCAACAAGCUCAUACCCAUCAAGGAGAGAAUGAACUUGGAGCUUCCACAUGAGGUAAUUUUGUGUUGUCAGCUUGAAAACGUUGGACAUAUUGAUAUGGAGGAGUGUGUUUGAGUUGAUAGAAAUUGUCUCACUAGCAUUCUCAAAGGAAGACAUGGUGACGGCUAGAAGAGAAAAAGAGAUGAAAAAAAAUAAAAAUUAGGUCUUAGGAGCUUUUAUGCUUUGAUACCAUAUAAGGAUUGAAUAAUUCUUAUUAAACGUAGAAUGAGAGAUUACACAUAUAUAUACAAGACUUAGCUAAGGGUUUAGGGUAAAACUUAAUUACAAUUAGAUCCCUUAACUUAUUAUUUACUUAUACUUCUAUAAUUCACACUGUUUAGUAUUAUCCCCUCGCACUGUGGGAGAUGUUGACUGUGAUAAUUAUUGGGCCUUCUAGUUUGUCUAAGACUAUCUACAUUAAAUACAUAUUAUGUCUCCAAAUGAAGUGAAACAAGUCUCUAUUUGUUUUUUUUUUUUAUGUCUCCAAAUGAAGUGAAACAAGUCUCUAUUUAUAUAAUAUAAAAAAUGAUGAAUUUUGGUAUAAAAAAAUAACAUAAAAUUUAAUAUUUUAUGAAAUAAUUGAUCUCAAAUAAUUGGGUUGGAUAAGAAAUAUCUAAAAUCUCAGUAUCCAAUAAAAACAGAACACGUGUCAUUAUCUAUAUAUUAUCAUAUAAUUAAAAAAUUCAUCCAUUCAUUGAUUGCCACGUGGUCAUUGUGAGGCCCAAAUGUUUUGGUUCAACACCGUUGAAGAGAUUCAACUCUGUUUACUCCACGUCAUUUCCUUUUUUUUUGCAACAUACCAUUGUAAAUGAUUCAGCAGUUGAAUAAAUAUUUCAUCUGUUUUAAAAAGCACCAUUGUAAGUAGUCUAAGGCCAUAUAGUUUUGUCGAUGUUUGAUUAUGAGAGUUCUGCAAGCUAGCAAUACCUUUGCUUAAACCUUCAUUAUGAGCCAGAGAUCGAUCGCGAAUUUUUUUUGAGUGGUUCAUAUUAUCGAGUAUUGAUAUAUACGAGUUUACGUGAAUGAACAUUUUACGAAAUGUAUCACUGAAUUGAUUAGUAAUGCAUAACAUAUGAUCAUGAAUAUUCAUGAUGGGGAUAUUUUGAGAGUGAUAAGGCACAAGGGCUACGGACUAGAGCCUAGAGGGUUUGGUGUCGUUAGUUAACUAUCGAUUUAUGGAUUCAUGGGUCUUGAAGAUUGCGAUGUGCCUAACCACAUAUUCGAAAGCUUUAGACUAUUUAUAAUGCCUUGUUGAAUAAGUGCAGUGGUGUGUUGAAUUAUUUGUUGAAAAUGAGUGUAUUAAAACAUGUUGAAACUCGGUGGGAAAGAACUCAACUUUGCCACUUGACACGAAGUGAUUGACCAAAAAAUUAGUGGUAAAAUUUAAAAAAGCGAUUGGAACUUGUAUCGAGAUGGUAUUGGCUGCUCGUAUUCUUGAAUAUUUUCAAAAUUUGCAUGUGAAGUGAAAUCAUACUUUCACUCGAUCUUUAUAUUAGAUCCAAACCAAAAUUCCAAGAAAAAAAAAUCCAAACCAAAAACCGAAUUCCAUAACCUUUUAAUUAUCGAAAGUUCGAAACGAUAAAUAUUUGAAAUAAACGUACUUCAAUACUUUAAAGAUAGAUAUUUUGCUCCAAAGAAAUCAGUAAUAUCAGGAAUUAAAAAAGAAAGUAAAUACAAUUUUCUUACACAAGUUUCAUAUGUAGAUUACAAAGGACACACAUCACAUACACACCAAACCUUCCCAAACUCCAACAGAAGAAGAUAAAUAAAACUAGUACGAAAGAUAAACGGUACACUCGAGAACAGUCUCAAGCCCAUCAGUGAACUGAUGCGGCUGAUUCUGCUGCGUCCCGCUAGAUCCUGUAAACGUCUUCAGAAUCGCAAAUCCCCUCGCAUUCACAUACUUUCCGGUACCUCCCAUAACUCCUAUAUGCGAUUCCGAAACCGCUGUUCUGAGAACCCCAAAGAAGCUUAUACUAUCUUCAUAACCGCCGCUCUCAAACAUCGCAGUGAAAGCCAAUGUCUGGCUAGUUCCGUCAAUGGCACUCGCAACAUAAUAUCCCUGCGCUUUCCCGAGCAAACCAGAUCCGAGCUCAUGGCCUUCGGUUAGUUCAUCAUCGAUUACUGUCAUUGUCCCGAACAUUAGCAUCUGAAGAGCAGAACCGCUUGGGAGCUGACCGCCACUAGCAACAGGGAAACCAUUUAAAAUGUUGUUUCCGUUAUUGUUGUUCUGGAGAAUGUUAGCCGUGGUUCCGCCGAGUCCAACCAGGAAAGGGACGUUGUUGUUGUUGACAAUCCCGUUGUUGUUGUUGUUCGAUGGAACUCCGUUGCUUACAGGAAGGUUUGCGCCGUUGGGUUUAGCAAAUGGGAGUUGGCCGCUUAAAGCCGGGUUCGCGACGACUCCAGUUACGGCUCUGGCAGUGGGAUUUGAACCACCGAGUAUAUCGUGCAUAAAAAAUACCAAUGUGUUAUCAGGACCUACACCACCACCACCAAGAGCUGGACCGGCACCUGCACCACCACCAAGAGCUGGACCGGCACCCGCCCCACCACCAAGAGCUGGACCGGCACCCGCACCACCACCAAGAGCUGGACCGGCACCCGCCCCACCACCAAGAGCUGGACCGGCACCCGCACCACCACCAAGAGCUAGACCGGCACCCGCACCACCACCAAGAGCUGAACCAGCACCCGCACCACCACCAAGAGCUGGACCGGCACCCGCACCACCUGGACCAGUUGCUGAACCACCGACUGGUAAAGAACCAGAACCACCACCCACUAAAGAACCAGGAACAGAACCGGCUGUUGGUAGAGGACCAGAACCAGUUGUAGUCAAAGGACUUGAACCACUUAAUGGUAUCGACCCUGUACCUGCACCGAGACCGGUUCCAGUAGAACCUGAACCAGAUGACCCUGAUCCUGCACCAAAACCGAUUCCCGUGGAACCUGAACCACUUGACCCUGUUCCUGCACCAAAACCAAUUCCAGUGGAACCUGACCCAGCAGUUGAGCCAGAGCCAGAGGUUGUUGUGGUAGCUGAGAAUGCAUCUUCUUCAUCAAGAAGCCGAGCCGCAGCUGCAAAAGUAACAACAAGAGCUAUAACCAGUAAAGAAAGUAUCUUUUGACCUGCCAUUGAACAAGAAAGAAGAUCACUCAGAGAAGCAAAGAUAGUUGUUUGAAGUAAAUGAUUGUGAUGAUAGAAUCAGAUUCUCAAAGAGUAUAUAUACAUACAGGAAAUGAGAUUGUUAAUACAAGGAAGAUGGAGUUGAUGAAAUGGAGCAGGUGAUAACUUUUUCACAUUAUCUAGUGGUUUGGUUUUGGAGAAGAAUCAUAUAAAAGAAGAGAAAAAAAAUCAUAACUUCUCCACAAUAUUUGAAUAUUAGUUCCUCAAAAUUGCUAAUCUGUAAUGUUAAACAACCCAAAGAUUAAAGCUUUUCCAUUAUUCUGCAUAUAUAAACUUAUCGAGAAUGAAAAAUGGCUAAAGAUCAGAUCUUACCAUGAAAAAGGUCGCUGCUUGACAGAGAUUAUCGUCUAGGCAUAAGAACCCAAUAAGGAUAAUUGUAAAUCACGAUCGUUGGUUGCAUUUUUCCUCUGUCACGCAUUUCAUCGAACACCUUGUAGACAUCUUCUCAAAUCUCCAUUACCAAACCAAAUCCUUUGAUUAUAAUACUUAAUUGAGACUGAAUUACACAAUCCCAUCUCCAUUGAUCCGUCGAAUUCGUGAUUAGAGUGGUUCAGAGUCUUAUUCAUAACAAACACACUCAAACAACGAGACAAUUUUAAGGAAAUCUCUCGAUGAGCUUAAAAUGGUUUCAUCGUUUGAUUAUGUUCGUCACGAAUCAGUCUCUGAACAAAAUCGACGAAGAGGGUAUUCUUCAAUUCUGGAUAAGACCAAGAUCUUCGUCGACGGCAUCGAAUUGUGGAAUCUGGCAAAAGCUUUGUGAUUGAGAGAGAAGAGUAAAGUGAUUGAUCUCCGGUUCUUACAUUUUCAACGAUACCGAGUCCCGGUUUACACUAUUUUCUAAAACCGAAACCCAAUAAGCCAAACCAUAACCGGAACAGUCAGUCCGGUUCACGGGGAGUGCAAUUUUACGUUUCUUUGUUUGAUUAUUUUACCAAAUUCUAUGUGGAUUUUUUAUAAUAUCUAGUGAAGAUAUUCAAAACUUGCUAAUAUCAAACAACUAGAUAAUAUCAUAAUAUUCACGUUUGAACAGUUUUAGAUUUAAAUUUUAUUUUACCUGAAUAAUAAAUAUAGGAUAAUCUGUUUGUGUGUUUUUCUGUGAUAAAAUAUGUCCAAGUAAAUUUUAUAUUAUAGACUUGAAACAAGAAUGCUAUAGUAUAAUAGGUGAUUAAAUAAAUUUAUCAAUUUGAUAUAAGUAUCCAUUAAAUAAAUUAGAGUUUUUUACUUCAUCACAUCAUAAAAGUAAUCUAUCAAUUUUUUAACUGUUAAAGAAAUAAUUUUUUUGGAAGAAAUAUUUUUUUCAUUUCUUAUAUAUUUUGAAUCAUAACAAGGGAAGAAAGCACCGGUUCAUAAAAACCAAAAAAAACACCCAAAGAAAAUAAUAACCACAACACUUGCUUAAACAAUAAAAGUAACUAAACCGGUAACACUUCUCCUUUCUUUCAUUUAUCUACUUGGAAGGAGGGAAGAAAAUGGCAUCAGAGGUCCUCUUAGAUCGGAAAGCCUUCUCCACCUCCGGAUCCACCUUGAACGCCGCCUGCAAAACCUCCGGCGACAACGCCUUCCACACCGAUGUCCUACCGGCCAAAUGCGUGAAAAUGGGACUGCCAAAAAGCACCAAAAACUAUAUAAGUAAAACAUUAUUAAUCAAUCAAAAAAAGGAUAAAAAACAUAAAUAACAUCUUACUCAGGAGUGGUCACAAUGGAGAACCAAGACAAGCCAUCAGAAUCAGCAAUCUUGGAGACAACAAAGAACCUAGGAACAAUGAACAAAGCACCAGCUUUCACAUGAGUCUCAAGAACUCUCUUCCCAUCAGCACCAACAAUCUGAACACGACCACUUCCACCAACAAUGUAAGUAACUUGAAGAGCCGAGUCACAAGAGAAUCCAGGAGAACACAUAGAAUGUCCAUCGAUUCUCACAAGAUCAGCUCCAAAACCAACUUCACCAACCAAAGGAAGAUUCUUUGUGUUCAACACAACAACUCUUCCUCCAUCCUUAAUGUCAACAUCAAGAGGAGCCUCCAAACAAUUCAACACAAACCCAUCACGAUCACCUUUCUUUGGUGCAGGCAUCUUCAAGCUCGCAUCAACCUUCACGAUUCCAUUACCGGUCUGAGAACCAACAAGCUUCUUCACGGUGGACUCAUCAAGAUCCCAAGCUCUGCCAACAAACUCAGUUGAGAAUCCAGUGAAGAUUCCAUUGGAUCCGGUUAGGUAAAAGUCUGUGAACUGUCCUGCUUUGUGACCCUUGUGAGUCUCACCGAGGAAGAGAACGACUAGCUCAGUGUCCUCAUUGUUGAACCACCAUGUCACUACACCAAAAGGUAAAGCUAUGGAGUCUCCUUUUUUGAUUGCUAUCACUUUCUCCUCUUUCUCAGGGAGCACGAUUCCAGCUGUUCCAGCUCCUAAAAAUGGUAACAAGAAAAUAUAUAUAUUAAUCCUUAAACUCUAUAUUCAUUGGCUAGAUCACAAUAUUAUGACCACCAAAACAUAUAUUUCACAAUAAGUAAAAAGGACCAUGAUCAAUAUAUGAAAUAUGAACCCUAAUUACAUGUCAAAAUUUUAUUUUGGAUCAUUUUUCUAGAUAGUUUAAUCUUACGUUCAUCACAAUUCUACAAUCACCAAAUUAUAUCAUAUUUUUCCAAAUCACGGCUUAAUGAAAGAAAAAAAAUUAGCACAUUCGUAGAUACAAAAAAAAUCAUACUACUUAAGAACCCUUUUAAGAAAGUGAUUUAUGAUUUAUCAGAUCUGAACAAAUAACUUUAUGUACAUAUAUAGAACAAACAAAAGACAUAUGAUCAAGACAAACUUUGGUUAAAACAUUAAAAAGAGAGUGAAGUGAUCAAAAGGAAGAUCGUAAAACACGAACCUUGAAGAACAUAAGCGACCUUAGGAGAAUCAGAGUAGCGAGGAAGAGCCAAGCCAUACUUCUCAAGAGCGAGCUUAGCGGCUCCAAUGUUACCAUCUCGGAGCAUUGACAACUCUUCAGGGC